rnacentral:lncRNA from 1 species
AAGCCUCAUACCUUUACCCCACAUGUGACUGAGAACGCUUUGGAUUUGUUUAAAUAGCGGAGGUCUGCCAUUAAAUAACAGAUAAUGAAGUCUUUGUGUAACUCAGCGCCCUUGAGGAAGACAAAGUCAGGAAUGAGUGUACGGGAACGACCAGUAUCAGACACCAUAGCUGGGGCUAGCCUAUGAAGUGAUUUAUCACCUCUCUCACACGAAGUUUUUCUGCGAGAGUGGGAGUGGCUGCUGAGGGAGGAGGAGGGUGAUGGAUGGGGGAGGAUUAGUUUGUGGCAGUAAGGGAAGGGUAGGAGAAGGGUUAGUGGUGAGAGCAUGAUUUUUAGAGGCUUGGUUUGAAAUCAAAGGAGAGUUGUGAUUUAGAUGAAUGGUUUUUAAACUGUUGGAACUGGUUUCUAUAGGAGAUGGGACACGAUGUUCCUGAAGAGGGGAAGAGCUAGAAGUUAGAAAAGGGUUUAGUGGAUUAGGGUUUCCUGUAGAAGGAACAGUAAGUAAAGAUUUAAGUUCAGCUAAGGAACCAAACUGAGUUGUAGUUGUAGAAAUGGGUACAGCUGUAAACAGUCUAAAGCUUGAGUCAUAACAGUGUCAGCUAAAGGGGAAAUAAGAUGAGAUCUGCGGAUUUCAGAACGAGAAGGAGGAGGACAAGAGGCUAGGGGUGGGAAGAGGUGAGGGGAAAGAGGGGAGAAAGGGUCUGGGGUCAGGAGGUAACGGUGGAGGGAGAAGAGAAUCUCCGGAGGUUGAAGACGAUGGUUGCACGGCAGAAGCACAUGCAGGAAGAGCCCAGUGAUUCUGCAUCGGUAAACGUGUCAAGAAGAGUCUGACUUUUUUGAUUAAUGUCCCCACGUAACGUUUCGUUUUCUUAUUUUCUUUUCAUCAAUAGAAGAAGAUACAACAAUUUAAACAGUUAUGAAUAAUUGCCUAAGCUAUUAUACAUAAUUUCUGAA